UACACCAAUGUGGCUGGACUCUGGAACCUUCAAUAGUAAUACUGGGAAAGAUAUUUUUCUUGUCUUUUCUUGGUUGGAACCAACUUGUAAGCUGCUGAUAGCCAUCUAGUGACACCAGGAAGGAGCUGGCUCUGGAAUGUUGUCAUGCAGAUGAAGGCUGUUAUUCCUAAUGAUGAAGGGAAAAAAAGAAGAGGAAGUGACUAAGAGCCAGAGAAGUUAAGAGAGCAGGCAUAUGCAACUAGUUCUGGAGUUUACCACAUUAAGAUGUCCCUUCCUCUCUGGAACUUCAUCAUCUCCACUGCUGAUUACAGCAGAAGAAAACUUUCGUGACAGAACACACUCUGCAGCAGAUACUAGGAGAACCAGACAUUGAAGCAAGCCAAUAGGCAAGGGUUCCCUCCAUGAACCUUCUUCCCUAAUUUGGGCAAGUGGAUGAGAACUUACACCUGUUAUCUGUUGGAGGGUCAGUCACUUCUACCAGAAGUGAAUGAUGAGACUGGGAACUGUAUUUGCUUAAAUACUCAGACAAUACCUUACCUUUGAGCUUUUGUAAAAUGACAAAAGAAAAGAGAAAGGAAAUGAAAGAAAAGAUAAGAAAAGAGUGAAGCUUCUGGAAGUUAUAGGUAACCAUCAGGGAACAUUAAGUAGAAGAGUGGCUGCACCUUUGAGUGAGAUAAUCUGGUAUGUAGUCAUCCUUUUUUUUUUUUUUUUGUCUUAUUUCUUUUAACACGAUUCUUUCAAGCUCCAUCCAAUAUGAAGCAAAGGAGGUGACUUUAUCCUUAACAGUUGAUAUGGAAGCAAAAAUGUUAAUAGUUGGGGCAAGAGUAUUUUGUAGGCACCUAUAAUGGGGAGAUGAGAAAGUGUACCCAUGAGUUAACUGUACUAGCAAUCAUUAACACACACCCCUCCAAUAAAAUGAUAUAUAAAAAGAAAAGUAGCAUAAACCCAAAUUAAC